rnacentral:rRNA from 1 species
UGCCAGCCGCCGCGGUAAUACGUAGGGGGCAAGCGUUGUCCGGAUUUAUUGGGCGUAAAGAGCGUGUAGGCGGCUUUGCAGGUCCGUUGUGAAAACUCGAGGCUCAACCUCGAGACGCCGGUGGAAACCGCAAAGCUAGAGUCCGGAAGAGGAGAGUGGAAUUCCUGGUGUAGCGGUGAAAUGCGCAGAUAUCAGGAAGAACACCCGUGGCGAAGGCGGCUCUCUGGGACGGUACUGACGCUGAGACGCGAAAGCGUGGGGAGCGAACAGGAUUAGAUA